rnacentral:rRNA from 1 species
UUACACGGAUAACUGUGGUAAUUCUAGAGCUAAUACGUGAUUCAAGCUCGCUUCCUUGUGGAGCGAGCGCAGUUAUUAGAUCAAAACCGAUCCGGCCUUCUGGUCGGUAAAAUUGGUGACUCUGAAUAACCGAAGCGGAGCGCAUGGUCUCGUACCGGCGCCAGAUCUUUCAAGUGUCUGACUUAUCAGCUUGUUGUUAGGUUAUGUUCCUAACAAGGCUUCAACGGGUAACGGGGUAUCAGGGUCCGAUACCGGAGAGGGAGCCUGAGAAACGGCUACCACAUCCAAGGAAGGCAGCAGGCGCGCAAAUUACCCACUCCUAGCACAGGGAGGUAGUGACGAAAAAUAACGAUGCGAGGGCUAAUAGCUUCUCGUAAUCGGAAUGGGUACACUUUAAAUCCUUUAACGAGGAUCUAUUGGAGGGCAAGUCUGGUGCCAGCAGCCGCGGUAAUUCCAGCUCCAAUAGCGUAUAUUAAAGUUGCUGCGGUUAAAAAGCUCGUAGUUGGAUCUGGGCUUCUGAAUGGAUGGUGUACUUUUCGGUGCAACUGUUCGUUUGGUGCCACCAGCCGGCCAUGUCUUGCAUGCUCUUCAUUGAGUGUGCAUGGCGACCGGAACGUUUACUUUGAAAAAAUUAGAGUGCUCAAAGCAGGCGUACGGCCUUGCAUAAUGGUGCAUGGAAUAAUGGAAUAGGACCUCGGUUCUAUUUUGUUGGUUUUCGGAACUCGAGGUAAUGAUUAAUAGGAACAGACGGGGGCAUUCGUAUUSCGGCGUUAGAGGUGAAAUUCUUGGAUCGUCGCAAGACGAACUACUGCGAAAGCAUU